CAGACAUAUCUUGUAAUGGAGCUGUGUGAGGAUGGAGAACUUAAAAAAUGCUUUGUGGUAAAGCGCAUUUUACAGAAAAUGAGACAGGACACAUCAUUCAAAGCCUUGCUUCAGCAAUAGGGUGUCUGCACAAAAACUGAUUGUGGUGAGGAAUGAGAUUUCAAGAUUUGAAAUUCUUGUAUGACUCCCUGGAAGAAGUAAGGUAUUGUUCGCAGAGAUCUAAAACUGGAAAACAUUUUAGUUAAAAGCAGUGACAUCAAUGAAGUAAAUGCAGUGAAAUUAAACAUAAAGGUUUUCCAUCCUUUCAGUCAACUCACCACUUCCAUCAGUAGAAACCACCAUGGCCAGCUGCUCUUUUUUCAUGGCCUUGCUUUAUGUACUCAUUUGGAACAGCAACUAGCACCCUCUGUCAUCUCUCCUGCGAGGUCCAAUUUCCAUCCCAAAUAUGUGCUUACCCCAGUGUGUGGGACUGAUUAA
rnacentral:lncRNA from 1 species